UUCCCUGGUCGGUGUUUAGGUAUCUUAAGCCACGUUAAGCGUUUUUCACGUUUAGCGUUUUAGAACGUCCCGCGGGUGGCGAGCUCCACAUGUUUAGUCAGUCACGCCCACGGAGUGCUGCAGUCCGAAGCUCUGCCGUUUUUCCGCCUGGAUACACACAGGCCUACACGGUGCCGCCGCAUAUCCUAUGCUCUGAAAAAUGCGAACAAGGAUGGUACUAUCAGCUGGGAACGUUUGAUGUUCUGGAGUUAAUUUUUAUAGGCUCUAAUUAUCAUUUAAACAGUCAAAUGUUUAGUAACUCAUUGGUUUGCUGUUGUUUGUAUAGAAUGGGGCGUUUAUUGUUGACUCAACUCCGAAUGCCGAUGGAAAGGGGUUAGCGGUUGUAGUGGCUGUCACGCCUCAGAAUCUCACACUGAGUGUCUGCGAGAACCUGCAGUGGCAACUUGACUGUGGCAAGCACUUGACCUGCCGAGAAAUAAUACAACAGUGGACAAAGAAGAUGACAACUAUGAUGGCAAUGGUUUACCUGGCUGGGGGAUUGCUUUAACUGUGGUUGUGGCUGUUGGUGCAUUUAUCGUUUUGUUCAUUGGAAAAAUGGCACUGCUUCUGUGAAAAUGAAAUUGUGUGGCGUAGAGGCAAUGCUUUGUGCCUUCAAGCAAAUCACCUCAUGUCAGCUCAGGGACUGUGCCUGGAACACGUUAUGUAAGACAAAAGUGCUAAGUUACCAAAAUAAUCUACUACUGUAAUUUCUUUAUUUCUAAUUCCUUUUUUGUAUGAUUUUCACAAAUAUAACAUUCUGUUGUUUAA